UAUUUGACCAUUCUUGCUUUGAGCAACAGUAAUACAUUCAUAAGCACCCUGAGACUGGGAACCUAAUCAUUUUAAGGGAAUUGUGAUCUCUUCCAAAUACCACCCAGUCAGUUAGAAAGACCAGCCAAUCAACUAUCAUUCUAUUUUGUACUUACUGACUUCACUGCCUUCCUAAACUUAAGAAUAUCUCCUGACAGGUUGAAUAAAAGACAGAGUGCAACCUAUUUUCUUCUAUGCCUAUUUUGGUGACUCUUGGACUAGGGAAGUGUCAGAAAGCUGCCUCUACUUCUUCAUCACUAUGAAACCCUGGAGCUUUCUCAUUCUUCUCCUUGCCUUUCUGAACGUUGGAGACAAAGGUGAAGCAGAACAAAUAAGGAAUAGACUCUCCUGCCUUAAAGUCAAUGGUGUUUGUCAAAAAAUUUGUGACCGUACAAAGAAAACUAUUGGAGUCUGUUAUGAUUCUUACCCUUGCUGUAAGAGGCGUGACUGCUCCCGAUAAUUUGAAGAACCACAAUCAUCUACUUGAAUGACUUACAGUCAUGGCAGGAGUCAAAACACCAGCAAAAAGAUUUAUGGUUUCUAUGCAUUUAAAUAUCUUUCCUA